rnacentral:rRNA from 1 species
UACGAAGGGUGCAAACGUUGCUCGGAAUCAUUGGGCGUAAAGCGCACGUAGGCGGCUCCAAAAGUCGGAUGUGAAAUCCCUCGGCUCAACCGAGGACGUGCAUCCGAAUCUGCGGAGCUUGAGUAUGGAAGAGGGUCGCGGAAUCCCCGGUGUAGAGGUGAAAUUCGUAGAUAUCGGGGGGAACACCAGUGGCGAAGGCGGCGACCUGGGCCAAUACUGACGCUGAGGUGCGAAAGCGUGGGGAGCAAACAGG